rnacentral:rRNA from 1 species
AGCGCAGGUGGUUGUAUAAGUCUGAAGUAAAAGGCAGUGGCUCAAUCAUUGUGUGCUUUGGAAACUGUACAACUUGAGUGCAGAAGGGGAGAGUGGAAUUCCAUGUGUAGCGGUGAAAUGCGUAGAUAUAUGGAGGAACACCGGUGGCGAAAGCGGCUCUCUGGUCUGUAACUGACACUGAGGCUCGAAAGCGUGGGAGCAAACA